rnacentral:rRNA from 1 species
AGCGGAACGAUCCUAGCUUGCUAGGAGGCGUCGAGCGGCGGACGGGUGAGUAAUGCAUAGGAAUCUGCCCGAUAGUGGGGGAUAACGUGGGGAAACCCACGCUAAUACCGCAUACGUCCUACGGGAGAAAGCAGGGGAUCUUCGGACCUUGCGCUAUCGGAUGAGCCUAUGUCGGAUUAGCUAGUUGGUGAGGUAACGGCUCACCAAGGCCGCGAUCCGUAGCUGGUCUGAGAGGAUGAUCAGCCACAUCGGGACUGAGACACGGCCCGAACUCCUACGGGAGGCAGCAGUGGGGAAUAUUGGACAAUGGGCGAAAGCCUGAUCCAGCCAUGCCGCGUGUGUGAAGAAGGCCCUCGGGUUGUAAAGCACUUUCAGCGAGGAAGAACGCUUGCGGGUUAAUACCCUGCAAGAAAGACAUCACUCGCAGAAGAAGCACCGGCUAACUCCGUGCCAGCAGCCGCGGUAAUACGGAGGGUGCAAGCGUUAAUCGGAAUUACUGGGCGUAAAGCGCGCGUAGGUGGCUUGAUAAGCCGGUUGUGAAAGCCCCGGGCUCAACCUGGGAACGGCAUCCGGAACUGUCAGGCUAGAGUGCAGGAGAGGAAGGUAGAAUUCCCGGUGUAGCGGUGAAAUGCGUAGAGAUCGGGAGGAAUACCAGUGGCGAAAGCGGCCUUCUGGACUGACACUGACACUGAGGUGCGAAAGCGUGGGUAGCAAACAGGAUUAGAUACCCUGGUAGUCCACGCCGUAAACGAUGUCGACUAGCCGUUGGGGUCCUUGAGACCUUUGUGGCGCAGUUAACGCGAU